AAUUGAGUGGAACCUCCUUUUGAGUCAAAAUAGCUUAUGGUCAGAAGGUACCACUCCAACAAAUCAGCAGAAGCUGCAUUAAGAAUAUAGAUACUGACAGAUGCUGUGCAAUCGGUACUUUUGUCCCUUGAACGUUAAGAGCUCCUUCAGACCCAAACCCCGUCUCAUCAUCAGAUCAAUAUUGGGUAUCUCUCACUCUCACACAAUGGAAUUGGACGAAAACAACAAAUACAAGAGCUCUCUGGAUUUCCUCACUCAAAACCCCUACACUCCUCCUUCCUGGGCUUCCCAUCUCAAUCCCAUUCCUCCUCACCGCUUCUCUCUUGGUCAUCUUCCUACUCCUAUUCAUCCAUGGAAGCUUCCUAAUUUGCCCAAUGGCACUGAGCUUUGGUUGAAGCGCGAUGAUCUAUCGGGCAUGCAAUUGAGUGGUAACAAAGUCAGAAAGUUGGAAUUUUUGAUGGCCGAUGCAGUGGCUAAUGGCGCUGACUGUAUCAUUACCAUUGGAGGCAUUCAGAGCAACCACUGCCGUGCCACUGCUGUUGCUGCCAAGUACCUUAAUCUUGACUGUUAUCUUAUACUUCGCACUUCCAAGGUUCUUGUGGAUCAAGAUCCUGGAUUGACGGGCAAUCUCUUGGUUGAACGUCUGAUUGGAGCUCAUGUUCAACUUAUUUCAAAAGAAGAAUAUGCACAAAUUGGGAGUGUGACUCUCACUAAUAUCUUAAAAGAAAAGUUGCUGAAGGAAGGGAGAAAACCAUAUGUUAUUCCCGUUGGUGGAUCAAACCCCAUAGGAACUUGGUGAGUUCAGGUGAAUAAUUUAUAUCUUGUUUGAUAUGUCAGUUUUAGGUUUGCAAUUACAUUAUUGAUCCUCAUAAACUGAUCAGUAUUUCAUCAUGUGAGACUGGUUAAGCUGUAUUCUAUAUCAAUCCUCUGGAGUGUCUCAAAAUAUUUCUGAUGCAAGGAUCCAAAAUGCUCCAAAACAAAAAUACAUUUACCAAGUCAACAAAAAUCAGCUUUUUUAUGUGACUCUGAAAUCCUUUUAAUUAUCUGAUGUAUAAAUAGAGUUGCCGAGGUGAUAUUUACAGGUUGCAAUUCUAUUCUUUAAUCAAGCCAUUGGAAAAGAAUGUUGAAAUUUGAUUUGGAAAUGAUGAACAACGGUAGGAGAAAGUACUAAAAUUCUUGUAGAGGGAAAGAAAUCCUCAGGUUUGAGGGUUGGUGGAAAAUUGUGUUUAGAUUCAAAAAUUUGAGGUAGUUAAAUAAGAGGAAAAGAGAUACAUAGCAAAAAGUGAAGAGAGGUGGGGUUAGUUGUGUUGCAUUUUGUUUUUGUUUAUCACAAUAUCUAAUAUUAGGGAGAAGAAGGGAAAAAGCUACAGAGAAAUAUUUGGAAAGAUGGAAUAGAGAGGAAAACAUACUGAGCAACUUGCAAAGGCAAGUUUAUAGGCUCAGAGGUCAGAGCACAGAGCCUUUCCCAUUCCACUUCCUUUAUCAAGGAUCCAACUGCUAAAGGCAAGGUACCUUGCACCAGUUGCACUUAGGUAGCAUCCAUUUUCAGUACUAAAUAAUCUAACAUUUAUAAUAAAAAAAAUGUUGAAAUAUAGAAUGAAUUGAUAUAAAUUAAUAUAAACAUAGGCAAGGCCUCACUGCAGUCAUUGCUGUGUCACUGCCACUUUCUCUCCCUUCUCUUCAUUUUUCUCUCCUUCCUUCGCAAUUAUUAAGAGCAGUGUAUCUCUGCAGUCCUUUGAAAGCACUCAACUAUUUAGCGAAGCGGUUGAUGUAACUACUUUAGUUGUGUACUGUUUUAGACUCUUACAUAUUAUUGUACUGAUCUCUUAUAGCUGAUUAUGACAAUUCAUUCAUGAAUAUAAAUAUGGGACAUUUCCAUCUAGGGGGUUGUAAUUCACUCCCUCUUCAUAAUAGCCACUUGAAGAGAUUGGCUCAUCUUCAUAUGGCCUUAACUGAAAGUCUCCCAACAUUCAAUUGCUUCCUCUGAUGUUGGCCAACUUCAGAAAAUGUUGAUCAAUAUUUGCAUCUAUAUUAUCUGUCAUUGUAGAGAACAAAUACAAGAAGUAUGCAAGAAGUUUGGUACGUAAUGGAAGGAGAUAGGCCUGCUAUUCCUUCAACAUUUGGGCCAUGACCCUAGAUUCACCCCUGUAGAGAAGGAAAGAGUUGAUUAUACUAUUUUUUCUUCUCUCAAUGGGAAAGGUUUCCCUAAUAAUGUAUUGGGCAUUUCUUCGUGAAAUACUUUCCUGAUAUGGCCUUUUCUUCAAGCUUGAUUGGCUAGGCCUUUUCUUCAAUUUUAUUUUCAUAUCUGCUCAAACCAAGCCAAAAACCACCCUUUUAGGGAAAUUUAUUAUGUAUGUGUGUGCUUUUGUACUGUGCACCUUGCUUCUUUUGUUAUUUUUUAAGAUCAAAGUUCUCUAGUUUUUUAUUUGCUAGUUUAUUUUAAUUGUUUUGUCUUUUCUAUAUCAUUAUAUUAAUAAUCUAAUUUAUAUGUUUGAAUUCCAUUCAGGGGUUAUAUUGAAGCAAUAAGGGAAAUUGAGCAACAAGUUCAGGCUAGUUCUGGCAGAUUAAAAUUUGAUGAUAUUGUUGUAGCAUGUGGCAGGUUCUUAUCUACACUGUCUCUUAAAUUUUGAAAGUAUGCUGUUUCUUUUCUAUUUCCUUCCUCUAUCUUGGAUGUCAGCAAGUUAUAUUUCUAGGAUGGACUUUGAGUAAUUUAAAUACUAAGAAUAGGUAGAACUCAAAUACACAAUUAUUAGCAGAUUUUCAGAUCUGAUUGCUGUGAAUAUAAGGAAUAAGGUAAAAUCUUCUACGCUUCUGAGAGGCAUAACUGCUGAAACUUUUAUUGAUUGAAAUUUGAAAUUUGAAAUGCACAAUACGCACUUUAAGACCAAGAAAAGUUGAAAAUUGAGACUUGAACAUCAUAAAUCACAAGUCUUUCCUACUUCCCUUGAGAAUUAGUAAAGAGAGAAUUUAAAUUCAUAUUGUUACCCCUUGUGUUCUCAUUUAGGUGGGAAGAUGAACCUCUUGAAAUUGAUGGUUAAACACCGCUUGGCUUACUUCUUGUUCUUUUGUUAAUUUGAAAAGGGGAUUCCUAGUGAGAGGCUUUAAACUCUCAUAUUGAGAGAUAUUACUCUAUUGAUACAAGUUAAUAAUUUAACCAUGAUGAUUUUGAUGUCUUGCACAUGAAUUUAUUGAAUGAGAUCUAAGUUUAUGUAUGACAUAUGGACUUCAACUACUUAUGAAUGUCGGAUAACAAUCAUGGCAUUUAGUCAUCAGAAUGUUAUCAAUCUAUACGUAUAAUGCAGAAAGAAUCCCUUUCCAGCAAAUUAUAAAAUUAAUAUUGUAAUUUUUUUGGGUGUUGAUUCCAGUGGAGGAACGAUUGCUGGUCUGUCACUAGGAUCAUGUUUCGGUGCUUUGAAGGCAAAAGUUCAUGCGUUCUCUGUCUGUGAUGACCCUGAUUACUUUUAUGACUUUGUUCAAGCCCUUAUUGAGGGACUCAAAGCAGGCGUUAACUCACGUGACAUUGUACACAUUCAAAAUGCCAAAGGUCUGGGCUAUGCAAUGAAUGCCUCUGAUGAGCUUCAGUUUGUCCAGGAAGUUGCUACAGCUACUGGUGUUGUUCUAGAUCCUGUUUACAGGUAGGGUAGCACAUUCUAUCAUAACUCCCAAGUUUUUCCGUCACAUUCCUGUAAUUCAUUCUGCAAUAGUUAGCAUGAUUUUGUAUCGUACUGUGACAACUGACAAGUCAAUUGAGGUUGUGAAUGCUGAAUGGUUAGUCAUCUAUGCGAUACAAUCCAAGGUAUUAGCAUUAACAAGGACCAUUACUGGUAUCUGGUAGCCUACUAGAAGAGAGAAUGUAAUGGUUAAAUGGCUGACGUCAAAUUUAAUCUAGAUACUUAGCGUGGUCGUGAUUUUAACACCAAAUAAGCUAGGCAUUCAUUUUCUUGAUCAUAAAGUCUGAAAGUCCCCUUGAGUUAACAGUUAGUUUAAUCUUUGUAGUGGGAAAGCAGCUUAUGGAAUGAUGAAAGACAUGAAAGAGAAUCCAAAGAAGUGGGAGGGAAGAAAGAUCCUAUUCAUACA
rnacentral:misc_RNA from 1 species